UAAUGAGAUGGUAAGGGGUGCAUGAU
rnacentral:piRNA from 1 species